rnacentral:lncRNA from 1 species
AACACCUAGCCGCACUCAAGUAUUUAAUUAUUUCUGGAUUUGAUGGAGUCACAACUUUACCUGAGUGGUUGGGAAACCUCACCUCUCUUCAAGAUUUGACAAUAGAUUUUUGUCGAAAUCUGGAGCAUCUGCCAUCUAAGGGAGCCACAUAUCAUCUCUCCAAUAUUCAACUCUUUCUAUUGCAAACUGUCCACCAUUAAAAGGAGACCGGAUUUACAUCAGCAAGAGGUUAGAUCCCUGCCAACCAAAUACAAGUCUAUGAACAUUAAGAAUGUAAGUUAAAGUCUCAUCGAUGUGCUCCUAUAAUAUUCACAAUACAUCCUAAUGAAAGAAAUUUCUUUCAUGCAACACUCAUAUUUUGACUGAAGGAUGCACCAGAGAGAUGACGAAUUCCUAGGUUGCAGUCAACUUCAACAUCCCCGGUCACCACCUCAACUCAUCCCAUCGAACCCUUGGGAUUGAAUGGAUCGGAACAAGAAAGCUCUCUUCCAUGUCAACUUCAACAUCUCACUGCAUACCGGCAUGGAAAUGACUGAAAAAGCUCUCUUCUGCUUCAGUUUUGAGAAUUUAUUUAAACGAACAAGUUGAACCAAUAAAUUGAUGGCUUAAACAUCAUAUUCAAAUUAUCUAUGUAAUAGAUUAUUUAAAGUCCAUUAUUAAGCAAAUAUUUUAAGUGGUCAUUAAAAAGAAAAAUAAUGGAAAAAAAUGAAAUUCAAGUACUAAAACUUUAACAAAUUUUAAUUGUACCUCUUACAAAAUUUGUAGUGCUUAGAUCAAAGAUGAUUGAGUCUAGGUUGGCUUCUACACAUCUCUUUAAUGAGCUUCCUUUCUAUAUCCAAAUUAUUACUUCCAUGGGAAAUCCACCAACCCUGUAAAUAUUUUUAAAUUAUUUACGAACCCAUUGAGCUGGUUGAAUCUAAAAUUAAAUUAAUUAGUACUCAAAAUAACUCGAAUAAGUAAACUCAGGAGCAAUGCUGGUGGGAGGUAGGCACCUAAUCUCCCAAAAUGAAAAUUUUCACUUUUGGACCUUUAGAAUUGAUAAGAUUUUAAGUUAGUAUAUGAUAAAAUUACACUUUGACCUCUCAUGAUAAAAAAAAGAUUAGUUGCCAAAUUAGGAAAAAGAGUCAAGUUCGAGUAUUAAAUUAAAUCCCCAAAAAUAUAAGUACCAAUUUAAGAAAAAAGAGUCAAAUUUGGAUACUAAAUGGACAAAAAAAGAUAUUAAAUUAAGAAAAAUGUGAAGUUUAGAUACCAAAUAUUAUAUUAAAGAUUAUUUUAAGAACCCAUUAUUAACUGGAAAUUAAUUUCUUAUUAUUUUAAGUGAAUUACCCAACUAUUUUCAAAUUUUUAUUAAAUUUAUAAUAUAUUGAAGCUAUGUAAUUUGAUAAAAUUUGAUUUUGUAAUAUAAGAGAUUAACAUAAUCUCGAUAUCCUUUGAUCUCAUCCACCGAUGUAACUCGAUCUAUACUUCAAACUAUAAAUAGAGAGCCUCCCUCACCCAUGCGACCAAUUUUGACAUUUAACCCUAAAUUUUUGUAUCUCUAGCAGCUUCCUAUCGCCGGGGGUCGCGCCGGUGUAGUUUUCUUAUCUUAUGGCGAUGUGUGUCGAAGACAGGAUCAGUAAUCUUCCGGAUCAUAUUCGUUGUUAUAUUUUGUCAUUCCUUCCCAUUCAAGAAGCAGUUCGAACCUCCGUUAUUUCAACCAAGUGGAGAAACCUCUUUGCUUCAAUUUCUACCGUUGACUUUGAUACUUAUUUACUGUGUCGUUUGACGGACGGAAACGUUGACAGCUUCAAGAACUUUGUUGAUAGGUUGCUGAAAUUCCCCGAUCAACUAAGUUUAGAUUGCUUUAGGCUACGUGGCGAUGAAUUUGAUUCAUGGAAUGACGAAGGUCAUGGUUUUGAUGUUUCUGGUUGGAUAUGUGCUGCAGUGUGCCGUGGUGUCAAGGAAAUUGAUUUGUACUUAGAUAUUUUUUUGUCAUACUUUACCAACUCUUUUAUUCACUUGCCACUCACUGCUGACACUGACAUUGGUUGCAAAAGAUUCUAAGAUUUUUGAGGUCCCAUCCGAGGUUUGUUUAAGGAAUCUCAAGACUUUGUCCAUUACAAACUCGCGACUUGUCGGUGAUUCUCUUAAUAGGUUAAUUUCCAAUUGUCAUGUCUUAGAAGAUUUGACCUUUUAUCAAUGUUUUGUUGCGAAUGCAAGGGAGAUCAAUAUCCAAAUUCCAUCACUUAAGAGCUUGUAUUUAGAUUUUUUUCUCCCGAUCGAAGGUUUAAAUUAUGUGGUGGUGAUUAAUGCUCCAAAUCUUGUUUAUUUUCGAUAUGAUUCCAUAAUAGUUGAAGGUUAUAGUUUGAGUAACAUGAAAUCCCUAGAAAAAGCCGAGAUGUGCAUCUCGUUUUAUUCCAGUAAUUAUGAAACAAGUGCAACUCAUCUUUUUCAAGGAAUUUGCAAUGUACGGUCUCUAAGGUUAAACAUUCAUGAAGUGGUUAGUAAACUUAAUAUUCAUGUGUUCUUUUUUCCUUAACAUUAUAUAAUAUAACAGUUUAAGUGUUUGUGUGUGCAGAUUCACCUAACAAGUGGAUUUCCUAUAUUUCACAAUCUUAUUGAAUUCGAUUUUUAUGGGAGUGAAACUUGGUUUGUAGAGUUUCUACAUUGUGCGCCUAAUCUAAAGACACUUACCAUCCUACUUGAGGUAUGAAGUCUUUGUCUAAGUACGAUAAACUUACUCGAUAUCAUGACCUAAAUUCAUGGCCCAAACCAAAUAACUUUUCUUCUUUGUCAUGAGUUUAGGGUGUUGCGGGAGCUCGAUGGAAUAUAAACGUUCCUUCUUGUUUGUCAUUUCGCCUCAAGAAGAUUGAAAUUUCAGACUAUGUCAUAGAUAUGAUUGAAAUAGUUCGUUAUUUAUUAGAUAAUUCAAUGGUUCUAGAAGAGCUUAUAAUAAGGAUGAAGGCCAUAAAUGCGACACCUGGAAUUAAAGCCUGCAACCAAUUAUUGCCGUUACUAAAGAGUUCAAAGAAAUGUCAAAUUGUGAUUUUGUAGCACUGAAUUAUCAGAUUCUUGUGAAAUACAAAUUCGGUUUUAAGUCAAAAUAUUUUUAUUUAAUAGGGGUUUAGAUUUUUAUUUUUAUUUUUACAUUUCUGUAUCUUUCUUCUCUUAUUUGCUAGCAAUUUUAUUUAAUUAUUUAAAAGUUUUCAUUUAAUUAGUCAAUUAAAAUAAUUUAUGUAUAAUCUUUUUUUUGCCCUCGCUUAUAGAAUCGAUUGCUCUUAUUCUCUUUUUUUUUUCUCAUUUUUUUUCAUAGAGCUCGCUAAACUUAAAAAAUAAAAUUAACAUCACAAUGACUUACAUAAAAUAGUACCAAAAAGCCCCUCUACUAUAAUAUAACAUGGACAAGAGGCUGAAGAUUCCUAUCAAGCAAAUUGUACUCUAAUACGCUCCUAUAAUAUUCACAAUACAUAAUGACAGAAUUUUUUUGAUAGAAGUACCAUGAAAGUCUCUCUACUAAAAGUUAAAUUCUUUAAUAUUUUCAUUUUUAUAAAGUAGGUGGAAUAAAAUUGAAUUUAACAUUUUUGUUUUUUCAUCGAUUAAAUAAAUGUUUUUAGAAUCAAACUAGAUCAUUUGGCUAAAAUUUUAAUUGAUUGCAGUACUGGUUCGAAGAUAAAUGUUGAAUCGAUUAGCCCGUGAACUGAAACAAAUGACGAAGCUCAGGAAAAUCUAUGAACUAGUUGACUUGUUUUUUUCUAUUCUUUAAAUAAUUUAUUUUUUAUUUUAUGAUUUUUUUAAACAAAUAACCCAAUCUUAAACCUCCCGCCAAUGCAAGUCCGGUCUGCCUUUAAUAGUCGACAGUGUAUGAUGGUAAGACUGUAUAUCGGAGAGACGACACACAGCUCCUUUGCGCGGCAGAUGGUCUGUUGGGAAGAAACCGAACAACCGAAACAAAGCGAAAGCACAACCGGUGUUCUUUCUCUCCUUAUAACUCCUGUAAAAAAUUAUGGCAAGCACAAUAGCACAAGAUAUGUUCUCUAGCAACCUUAAUCAACCACAAAUCAACUAAUGCAACCACAACAAAAAUAAAUAGAGACACCGGUAUUUUUACGUGGAAAACCCCUUUAAAUCAAGGGUAAAAACCACGGGACUUUAGAGUCCGAUAAAGAGCUCUACUAUCAUCAAAUGUUCGACUACAAGAUCACAAUAUCAAGCCUACAACAAGCAUUCAACUCCGACAAGGCUAACAAUAUGUAAUCUUUAGCAAAAGAGAGAAAAAUGAGAGAACAUCACCAAAAAAUGCAGCUGCUGAAAAAAUGGGUAUUUUCGACGCUAAAAGACUCGGAUGAAAAAUCCGACCGUCCAAAGUCAAGAACACCUUAUCGCCUAGCUGCUGUCCAAAAAUCAGCUCAAUUGAACCACGGAUGGACCUUCGAUCGAGGAGUUGAUCACUGCUGCACCAAGCUUGAAAAACUGAUUUUUUUUUAUUCUCUCUUUUUCUCCAACGAGCUUCAAUCUCACUCUCUGUUUUUCUCUCUUUUAAAUUGAGAAUUUGACACUCAAUAAUAAUAGAAAGACAAAACAUUAUGGCAGAAAAUAUGGGUUUCCCACAUAGUGGGACCCAUACCCAACAUGGUCCAGAUUUAAUGAAUCGCUAACUAUUGAAGAGAGGAGAAAUUGUUAUCUCUAAUGUUUCCAACCUUGUGAAUUCAGGUAAUGCUUCCUCUUAUCUCUUAUCUUACUAUGAACAUGUCUGCAAAUGGUAAGAGUUAGGUGAUGGACAUAGGUAAUCUGCAUAUGUAAUGUAAGUUAAUUGAAAUGUGAUCAUCACAGAAGUUAAAAACUUAGGUCCUUUACACUAUGGCUUUUCUAGUCUAAUAUGAGAAAUGGAUUGUCCAAUAUCAUGUUAAUUAUGCAUCUUAGAUCUCAAAAGCUAGCUGUUGGGAACCAUUGUUUUUAAAACUGUAUGAGCUAGUUGGACCAGGUUGAAUCGUCUGACUUUCACAACGGUAUGAACCAAUUGAACCAAACGUUGGAGUAAAAAUCUUAAAAAUCUUAUUGGGAACUUAUCCUAGGCAAAAGUUGGGUUCAAUCAAGUUUUUGCAAUAACCUCUAUUAAUGUAACACCCCCUAAUCCCAAACCGUCGUCAGAAUAGGGUUACGAGGCGUUACCGAACAUAUUGGUUAAUUUACAAACAAUUUUAUGAAUAAACAACAAAUAUUUUAAAAUUAAAUCAUUAAGUCUCUUUUAUGAACCCUCGAGGCCUAAAUCAUGUAUUAUAAAUGAAUAGGGACUUAUUCAAGUACUCUGAAAAUUUUUCAUAAUAUAAUAAUUAUUAUUUUUUUUAAAAAAAUUUCAAUAUAACCCUUUUAAAAACAUCUAACCUUCCCUGCAAUUUCAAAUUUGCAACUAACUCAACACAACAACAACUCAACAAAUACAAUCUUCAUCCAAAUCAUAUUCGUCUUAUAACAAUAUCACUAAUCCUUAUUUUAUCUAACAUUAUAUCCAUUCAUACUUUCAAGUAGUAUUUAAAAAUCUUAAUUAAUUUCCAUUCAUAUCAUAUAUCAACUUAUAUUAACUUAACUAAUAUAUUCAUGAGUUGAUACAAAACAUAGUCACAUCAGCUCCUAUACAUGCCAUAUAAACCAUUUAAAGUAAUUAUAACAAAAUCUACCGGAAAAUCGAGAUAGUGUGACUUGAGCGUGAUGAUCCGAUCCUCUGACCCUCCCGUUAAUCUACAAAGAGCAAUAAACAUUACAGGUAAGCUAACUAUAGCUUAGUAAGUUCGUCGGCUUAAACCAUAAACCUUACCAAUAUUAGUUUCAAAAAUUCAAAUCAUAUGGACAUUUCAAGUAAGUUACUUUCAUCUUGUAAAUCAUAAUCUCAUUUUAAAAAUAAUUUACUUAAUUGAGCUAAAAAAUAAUGAUAACAUUAUUUACAUUUCUUUUUUCACACGUUACAAUUACGACUUACUGACUUGUUAAUUUAAGGAACGACUUAUGGAUUUGAGUACAUCGUGAUCUGAAACCCGAAAUCUAACUGAAGCACAAAAGUGCUAAACGGAAGCCCGAAGGCUAACUGAAGCACAUAAGUGCUAAACGGAAGCCCGAAGGCUAACUGAAGCUCAUCAGAGCUGAACUGAAACCCCAAAAGGGUUAACUGAAACUCAUAUGAGUUAACGGAAGCUCGUAAGAGCUAAAUAGAAAGCAAACACGAGAGUUCGCAACAAAUGCUGAAUCUCGGUUUACUUGGGUAAUUUACCGUCAAUUCAUCUUUUUCACCGAACGAUCGUACUCAUUUCCUGCGUUCCGUUCCUCCGAAUUACUCAGUUCAAUUUCGUAACUUUUGUACAUGAUUUAAUUAUUUUCAACAAUUAACAUACAUAAAUAUUAAUCACCAUUCAUAAAAUAACAUUGAAAUUUAAUAAUUUAACCGUACGAACUUACCCGGAACAAUUUGCAGUAGUUGUAGAGAUUUCUUGAACUAUUCCGGAAUUUUCUCUUUUCCUCGUUUAUCCUCAAUUUCUUGAUCUAUAAUAUAAAAUUUUCACUUAUCAGUAUUGACUUCACAUUCAUUCUAUUUCACAUCCUUAAUGUUUAUAACCCGCUUACAAGUAACAUUAUCUACAAUUUUACUAUUUACCUAUGUAUAUUCAAUGCUGUCCAUCCAUGUCAUAGUCACUAAAUUAUUUUUAUCUUGAGCUACAGAACUCCAAAUUAGGAUCCGCUAAUUUUCACUGAACUAGACUCACAUAUCUUCUUAUCAUAAAAUUUUCAUAAUUUUUGGUUUAGCCAAUAAUUACAGUUUAUUCUUUAAAGUCACCCCUGUUCUGCUGUCUGAGAAUUCUAACCUUUCUUCACUAAAAAUUAAUUAUCUCUUCAUACAGAAUUCGGAUGAUAUUCCCGUUUGUUUCUUUUGAAAAUAGACUCAUUCAGAAUUCUUGACAUAUAAAUUUAAGUCCCUAAAUAUUUUUAUUAAAUUUUUUAUGAUUUUUCAAAUUCAGAACAGGGGAACUCGAAUUCAUUCUGACCUUGUCUCACAAAAUUAAUUAUAUCUCAUGAUUUCCAAAUCCUUUGCUAACACCGUUUCUUCUAUGAGAAACUAGACUCAAUAAGCUUUAACUUAUAUUUUGUUCAUAUUCUAAUUCGAUUCCUAAAAUUUAUGGUAAUUUUUCAAAGUUAGUCUACUGCUGCUGUCCAAACUGUUUUAGUGCAAGCUGUUUAUUGCCAUUUCCCCUAAGCUUUUAAUAAAUAACAAUUUCGUCCCUACUCAAUUAGCCUCUCAAUUGAGCUGAUUUUUCUCAAUUAACACUUUAUUCUAUCACCUUUAACUAGUUUACAACCUUUAGGAAUCCAAAUUUCAGAAAUAGACUUUAAUUCCAAACAUUUUCACAAUUAGGUUCUAAAAAAUCAAUUUCUAUUGAAAUUACCUAAUAGAAUCAUCUCAUAAACAAAUUAAUGCUUUAAUUUCAUUCUAUUUCAUCAUAAACUUACAGCACUCAACCAUGGUGACUUUCAAUUUCAUCCAUGAAAUCAAAAACUAAUGAAUUUAAUAGUAGGACCUAGUUGUAAAAGUCUUAGAAACACAAAAAUUACAAGAAAAAGGCAAGGAUUAACUCACUUGGUGCAAAAAUUAUGAAAUACCAGCUUAUAGAACCCUCCUAUGGCAUUUUUAGCUGCUGGAAUUGAAGAGAAAUGAAGAGAAAUCUAGAUAUUUCCUAUUUAGUCCUAGCUUUAUUUAGUUAAUUUUGCAAUAUUCCAAUUUUGCCCUUAAUUCAUCAAUUUUCCUGCUGAUUUCAAACCCCUUGCCGUCCAGCCCAAAUAGACCUUGGGUCUUUUUGCCUUUUAAACCCUCUUUCUUUUAUCAUUUAAGCUAUUUAAUCAUUCUUCAUAAUUUUACAUUUGUUACAAUUUAGUCCUUUUUAUUCAAUUAACCAUCGAAACUUUAAAAUUUGUUGACGAAACUUUAAUACUAACUUAUUAACACUCCAUAAAUAUUUAUAAAAAUAUUUAUGGCUCGUUUUAAAAAUUUUCAAACUCUCGAUACCUCAUUUUUUAUUCUAAUUUUUUUUAAUAUUUAUUUCUAGUACACUAUUCGCUAUUUCAAAAAUUUUCCUAACUUCACAUUUAACUUAUAUUCAUUAAAUUAUUAAUAUUUUUCUACUCAUUUGUCGGAUUUAGUGAUCUCGAAUCACUGUUCCGACACCACUGAAAAUUUAGGCUAUUACAAUUAAUGAGAGGAGAAAAAGAGAAAUAUUAUCGUAAUUGUGAAUAUUGAAAAUAAUCAAUUGCAAUAAAUACGAGUACUUAAACAAAACUUCAUACUAAAUCGAGGAUAAGUAUAUUUAAAUUCGAUACACCCAUUGGAGAUGUUGGGGAUUACAUCAUACUUGAUCAAUUAAGAAAAGACAUGAAGGAAUAGUACAGGUAUUAAGUUUGACAUUUACUUUGAAUAUGUAUUACAUUGCACACUGGCAAAAAUUAAGGGAUUAAUUUUGAUAUUAACCCUAAAUCUUAUAUACAGCUACGAAAAUAGUGGUCUCUUUUGACAUUAUAAUUGUCCUACAAUUAUAAUUGAUAUUAAUCCUAAAUCUUAUAAUUGUGUUUCAAAAUCGGUAGUGCUUAAAUCAAAGAUGAUUGAGUCUAGGUUGGCUUCUACCCAUCUCUGUAAUGAGCUCCUUUCUAUAUCCAAAUUAUUACUUCCAUGGGAAUUCCACCAACCCCUGCAAAUAUUAUUAAAUUAUUUGUCAAUCCAUUGAGCUAGUUGAAUCAAAAUUUAAUUUAAUUAGAACUCAAAAUAAUUCGAAUAAAUAAAUUCAGGGUCACUGUUAGUGGGAGGUAGGUACCUGAUCUCUUAAAAUAAAAAUUUUCACUUUUGGACCUUUAGAAUUGAUAAGAUUUUAAGUUAGUACAUAAUAAAAUUACAUUUUGACCCUUCAUGAUAAAAAAAAAAGAUUAGGUGCCAAAUUAGAAAAAAGAGUCAAGUUCGGGUACUAAAUUAAAUCCAAAAAAUAUAAGUACCAAUUUAAGAAAAAAGAGUCAAGUUUGGAUACUAAAUUGGACAAAAAAAUAGAUAUCAAAUUAAGAAAAAAUAUGAAGUUUAGAUACCAAAUAUUAUAUUAAACGAUUAUUGUAGGAACCCAUUAUUAACUGAAAAUUGGCUUUAAAUUUUUAUUAAAUUUAUAAUUUAUUUAACAUAUGUAAUUUGAUAAGAUUUGGUUUUAUAAUAUAAGAGAUUAACAUAAUCUCGAUAUGCUUUGAUCUCUUCCACCAAUGUAAGUCAAUCUAUAAGUCCGGCUAUAAAUAGAGAGCCUCCCUCGCCCAUUGUAUUUCAUUAUUAUUCUAUUCUUUUAGUAAAAGUUAAAGCGACCAAUUUUGACAUUUAACCCUAAAUUUUUGUACCUCUAGCAGCUUCCUAUCGCUGGCGGUCGCACCGGUGUAGUUUUCUUAUCUCAUGGCGAUGUGUGUCGAAGACAGGAUCAGUAAUCUUCCAGAUCAUAUUCGUUGUCAUAUUUUGUCAUUCCUUCCCAUUCAAGAAGCAGUUCGAACCUCUAUUAUUUCAACCAAGUGGAGAAAUCUCUUUGCUUCAAUUUCUACCGUUGACUUUGAUACUUAUUUACUGUGUGGCUUGACUGACAGAAACGUUGAUAGCUUCAAGAACUUUGUUGAUAGGUUGCUGAAAUUCCCCAAUCAACUAAGUUUAGAUUGCUUUAGGCUACGUGGUGAUGAAUUUGAUUCAUGGAAUGAUGGAGAUUAUGAUUUUGAUGUUUCUGGUUGGAUAUGUGCUGCAGUGUGCCGUGGUGUCAAGGAAAUUGAUUUGUUCUUGGAUAAUUUUUGUCACACUUUACCAGAUAUUUUAUUCACUUGCCACUCACUGCUGACACUAACAUUGACUGCAAAAUAUUCUAAGAUUUUUGAGGUCCCAUCCGAGGUUUGUUUAAGGAAUCUGAAGACAUUGUGCAUUACAAACUCGGUACUCGUCGGUGAUUCUCUUAAUAGGUUAAUUUCCAAUUGUCAUGUCUUAGAAGAUUUGACUUUUGAUGAAUGUUCUGUUGCGAAUGCAAGGGAGAUCAACAUCCAAAUUCCAUCACUUAAGAGCUUGUAUUUAGAUUUUUUUUUCCCGACCGGAGCUUUAAAUUAUGUGGUGGUGAUUAAUGCUCCAAAUCUUGUUUAUUUUCGAUAUGAUUCCGUAAUAGUUGAAGGUUGUAGUUUGAGUAACAUGAAAUCCCUAGAAAAAGCUGAUAUUUGCAUCUGGUUUGAUUCCAGUAACUAUGAAACAAGUGCAACUCAUCUGUUUCAAGGAAUUUGCAAUGUACGGUCUCUAAGGUUAAACAUUCAUGAAGUGGUUAGUAAGCUUAAUACUCAUGUGUUCUUUUUUCCUUUUAACAUUAUAUACUAUAAAGGCUCCAAAUUUUUGUUCCUGCAGAUUCCCCUAGCAAGUCGAAUUCCCAUAUUUCAUAAUCUUGUUGAAUUUGAAUUUUAUGGGAGAGAAAGUUGGCUUGUGGAGUUUCUACAUUUUGCACCUAAUCUAAAGACACUUACGGUCAAAUUUCAGGUAUGAAGUCUUUGUCAAGAAAUCGAAGACAUGCUCGAUGUCACCUAAAUUCAUGGUACAAACCGAAUAACUUUUCUUCUUUUUGUCAUGAGUUUAGGACGGGAACUCGAUGGAAUAUAGGUGUUCCUUCUUGUUUGUCAUUGCACCUGAAGAAGAUUGAAAUUUCAGACUAUGCCACAUAUAUGAUUGAAAUAGUUCGUUAUUUAUUAGAUAAUUCAAUGGUUCUAGAAAAGCUCAUAAUAAGGGUGGAUGCCAUGACUCCGACACAAGAAAAUAAAGCUCGCAACCAAUUAUUGCUGUUACUAAAGAGUUCAAAGAAAUGUCUAAUUGUAAUUUUGUAGUACUGAAUUAUCAGAUUCUUGUGAAAUGCAAAUUCGGUUCUUAGUCAAACUAUUUUAGUUUAAUAUGGGUUUGGAUUUUUUUUUAUUUGCAUUUUUUUUAUCUUUCUUCUCUUAUUUGCUAACAACUUCAUUUAAUUAUUUAAAAAUAUUCAUUUAAGUCAUUAAUCAAUUAAAAUAAUUAAUGUAUGAUUUUUUAUUGUAAUCGCUUGUACAAAUCAACAGCUCUUACUCAUUUUAUUUUCUCAAUUUUUUCAUAGAACUCACUAAACUUAAAAAAGAAAAAAUUAACAUCGCAAUGACAUACAUAAAAUAGUACCAAGAAGCCCCUCUACGGUAAUAUAACAACGACAAGAGGCUGAAGAUCCCUGUCAAGCAAAUUGUCCUCUAAUAUGCUCCUAUAAUAUUCACAAUACAUAAUGACAGAAACUUUUUGGUAGCAGUGCUGUCAAGUCCCUCUACAAAGAGUCAAAUUCUUUAACAUUUUCAUUUUCAUAAAGUAGGUGGGAUAAAAUUGAAUUUAACAUUUCGUUCAGUUGAAAAUAUAAUUGAUUGCGGUAUUGGUCUGAAGAUAAAGGUUGAAUCUAUUGAACCUUUGAACUGAAACAAAAAACCAAGCUUAGAAAAAUCGGUCUAUUCUUUACAUAAUUUAUUUUUUAUUUUAUGAUUUUUUUAAACAAAUAACCAAUAUUAAUCCUCCCGCCAAUGCAAGUCCGGUCUGCCUUUAAUCGUCGACAGUGUAUGAUAGUAAGACUGUAUAUCGGAGAGACGAUAAAGAGCUCCUUUGCGUGGCAGAUGGUCCAGAUUUAAUGAAUCGCUAACUAUUGAAGAGAGGAGAAAUUGUUAUCUCUAAUGUUUCCAACCUUGUGAAUGCAGGUAAUGCUUCCUCUUAUCUCUUAUCUUACUAUGAACAUGUCUGCAAAUGGUAAGAGUUGGGUGAUGGACAUAGGUAAUCUGCAUAUGUAAUGUAAGUUCUUGAAAUGUGAUCAUCACAGAAGUUAAAAACUUAGGUCCUUUACACUAUGGCUUUUCUAGUCUAAUAUGAGAAAUGGAUUGUCCAAUAUCAUGUUAAUUAUGCAUCUUAGAUUGCAAAGGCUAGCUGCUGGGAACCAUUGUUUUCAAAACUGAACCAAAUAGUUGGAUCGGGAUAUUGAUUUGGAAUAAGAGGUUGGAUCGUUUGACUUUCAAAAUGGAAGCAAUCGUUGGAGUACAAAUCUUAAAAAUCUUAUUGGGAACUUAUCCUAGGCCAAACUUGGGUUAAAUCAAAUUUUUGCAAUAACCUAAACUCGUGAGAGAAGAAAAAGAGAAAUAUUAUCGUAAUUGUGAAUAUCGAAAAUAGUUAAUUGCAAUAAAUACGAGUACUUAAACAAAACUUCAUACUAGAUCGAAGAUAAAUGUCUUUAACUUAGACAUACCCAUUAUGUCUUGUUCAUUUCUUCAGGAGAUGAUGGGGCUUACAUACUUCAUACUUGAUCAAUGAAGAAAAGACAUAAAGGAAUAAUACAGGUAUUAACUUUGACAUUUGCUUUGUAUAUGUAUUAUAUUGCACAUUGGGUAAAAGUGAAGGGAUCAAUUUUGAUAUUAACCCUAAAUCUUAUAUAAAGCUAUGAAAAUACGACAUUAACACUAACUUUUUUGUAUAUCUAGCAGCUUGUACCAAAGGUAAGAACUUUCCUUUUCUUCCUUCCACAAAUCCGAGUCGGUGGCUGUCACCGCCACCCACGGCCGCCAUCAGAGUUCGAAGCCAGACAUAAGCUAGUGAAGCCGAACCACAAAACAAAAGCGAAAACUCUCCGUUUCCUAUCGCCGGCCGUCGGACAGGUCUGCAGUUUUCUUAUCUUAUAGCGAUGUGUUCCGAAGACAGAAUCAGUAUUUUGCCGGAUCAUAUUCUUUGUCAUAUUUUGUCUUUCCUUCCUAUUAAAGAAGCAGUUCGAACCUCUAUUAUUUCAACCAAGUGGAGAUACCUCUUUGCUUCAAUUUCUACCAUUGAAUUUGAUCGUUGUUUACUGAGUGGUUUGACUGACAGAAAUGUUGACAGCUUCAAGAACUUUGUUGAUAGGUUAUUGAAAUUCCCCGAUCAGGUAAGUUUAGAUUGCUUUAGGCUAAGUGAUGGGAUUUCAUGGAAUGAUGAAGAUCAUGAUUUUGAUGUCUCUGGUUGGAUAUGUGCUGCAUUGUGCCGUGGUGUUAGGGAAAUUGAUUUGCACUUAGAUAAUCUUGGGGAUGUUCUCACUUUACCAGCUGUUUUAUUCACUUGCCACUCACUGGUGACACUGAAAUUGAAUGCAGAAGGUUCUAAGAUUGAGGUCCCAUCUGACGUUUGUUUAGGGAAUCUGAAGACUUUGCAGCUUAGAAACUCGGUAGUUGACGGUGAUUCCAUUAAUAGGUUAAUUUCCAAUUGCCAUGUCUUAGAAGAUUUGGCUUUUUUUGAAUGUUUUCUUGCGUAUGCAAGGGAGCUCAAUAUCCAAACUCCUUCUCUUAAGAUAUUGGUUUUAGAAUUUGAUGUGGUAGAAUACAGAGGUUUCAAUUAUGUGCUGGUGAUUAAUGCUCCAAAUCUUGUUUAUUUUCAAUAUACUGACGCAGUAGCUGAAGGCUAUGCUUUGAGUAACAUGAAGUCUCUAGAAAAAGCCGAUAUUAGCAUCUAUCGGUUUGAUUCCAGUGAUUGUGAAACAAGUGCAACCCAUCUUAUUCAAGGAAUUUGCACUGUGCGGUCUCUGAGUUUAACCAUUGAUGAAGUGGUUAGUAAACUUAGUAUUCAUGUGUGAUUUUCCUUUUAACAUCAUAUAAUUUAACAUUAUAUAAUAGCUUCAAGUUUUUGGGUGCGCAGCUUUUCCGAACGUGUCGACUUCCUAUAUUUCACAACCUUAUUGAAUUUGAAUAUCAUGGUCUUGGUUUUAAUGGCAGAGAAACUUGGCUUGUGGAGUUUCUACAUUGUGUGCCUAAUCUAAAGACACUUACCCUCAAUUUUCUGGUAUGAAGUCUUUUUCUGAGUACGUGUAUUCGUUGCGAUUGAUUGUUUUAGUGUCAGUUAUAUUCACAAUUACAAUAAACUUAAAAGAAAUCGAAAGCAUGUUCGGGAUCAACUAAAUUCAUGGUACAAACCAAGUAACUUUUCUAAGUUUUCUUCUCUUGUCAUGAGUUUAGGUUGUUGCGGAAACUCAAUGGAAGGUUUUACACAUGGAAGUUCCUUCUUGUUUGUCUUUUCACCUCAAGGAGAUUAAAAUUUUGAACUUUAAGGGAGACACGCGAAUGUUUGAAAUGAUUAGUUAUUUCUUGGAUAAUGCUAUGGUUCUGGAAAAGCUCAUGAUAGGAAUGAAAACCCUGUCUGAGACACAACAAUCGACUGUCUUCUACCAGUUAUUACAGUUACCAAAGAGUUCAAAGAAAUGUCAAGUUGUGAUUUUCUAGUACUGUUUUAUGUUAUGGUUAGAACUGAUCAGUGUCUGGUUUGGUUUUGUAUAGAUGUGUUGUUUGAAAUAUACAUUUUAGUGUUAAUACCCUAUACAUUCACUAAUAGCAAUACUGAAUUUCUGAUAGUUGGUUUAUAUAUGUAUGUGUGUAUGUAUAUUUAUGGGUAUAUAUAUGUAUUGUAGCCAAAAAUAGCCUUUGAAAUUGAUAAGUAGCCCAUGAUUGGAAAAAUAGAAACAUAUUUUAAUUUGUAAGAAACAAUCGUAUGAUAUACCUUACACAAGCAGCUCUGAUAGGAAGAACAUCAGAUUGAUUUGGAACUAUUUGAGAACAAGAAAAAGGGGAGCUCUCUAGUAAUGGGGAUUUGUACAUUCGUACCAACAGCAAAGAGGGCUUCCAUUGUUCCUGUUAUAGGCUAGCUUUGGUUCAACACAGACCAUUGAAGAUGAAGGUUUGAGAACUUGAGAUUUUAGCCUGCUAGAAUGCUGGAAUUUAGCUUCCUUGAGACUGAAAUGAUGUUUAAAGAUCCCUUGAUUUGACUAUGGAACUCACACCAUUGACAACAAUGCUUGCGCCUUACAGGUCAGUCAGUGUUGAUAAUAUCCAACUCUAAACUCGUCUCCCUGGUGCAUUCCUCUGUCAAAAUAUCAUCUGAAAAUUUCGGUGUUGCGUGAAAGAAAUUUGGUGAAAUUAUCAAGGUCCCUCUAUUAAAAAAAUGAGUAAAUUAAUUCUGUAGGUAAGAAAGUGAUUAUCCCAUUAAGAAAGAAGCAAGUAACAGUAAAGACAGCGUCGUGGUUGUCAUCAGUGGUAGGUUGGCUGGUGGGAUCACCAUAAAGAGUGGAGAUAUGAUCAUGGUUUGUCAUCACUCAAUGUCACUUAAUUUCAAAAAAUCACCAAAUGAUCGUUUUAGUUUUCCUCCCACAAACUUGAAUAGACGAGGCUCAUUCGACUUAUGAGAUUGUCUACUUAAAUAUGAGAAAUUAAACUCAUAAUAUUAUGUAAAGGUAUAUGUAAUUGAUAAGAUUUGAUUUUAUAAUCUAAGAAAGUAUGUAAAUCCCUUAAUUGUAUAUAAACUUUGAUCUCUUCCAUCGAUUUAAUUUGAUAUAUACCGUCGGUUUUGAGCAACUUAAUUAUAAAUAAAAGCCUCCCCUCAUGUUUCACAUAUGGUAUUAAGGACUAAUAUUGACAUUUAACCCUAAAUCUCCUUUUUUUUCUUCCACAAUCCAAUCCGGAGGCUGUUACCUCCACCCACGGCCACUGUCGACAUAGGCUAGUGAAGCUAAACCACAAAACAGAGGCAAAAAAGUUCCGGUUCCUAUCGCCGGCCACCGCACCGGUCUGUAGUUUUCUUAUCUUAUGGCGAUGUGUAUCAAAGACAGGAUCAGUAAUUUUCCGGAUCAUAUUCGUUGUCAUAUUUUGUCAUUCCUCCCCAUUAAAGCAGCAGUUCGAACCUCUAUUAUUUCAACCAAGUGGAGAUACCUCUUUGCUUCAAUUGCUACCAUUGAAUUUGAUCGUUAUUUACUGCGUGGUUUGACCCACAGAAACGUUGACAGCUUCAAGAACUUUGUUGAUUGGUUGUUGAAAUUUCCCGAUCAAGUAAGUUUAGAUUGCUUUAGGCUACGUGAUGGGAUUUCAUGCAAUGUUGGAGAUCAUGAUUUUGAUGUUUCUGCUUGGAUAUGUGCUGCACUGUACCGUGGUGUUAAGGAAAUCGAUUUGGAACUACAUAAUCUUGGGGAUGUUUUCACUUUACCAGCUGUUUUAUUCACUUGCCACUCACUGGUGACACUGAAAUUGAAUGCAGAAGGUUCUAAGAUUGAGGUCCCAUCUGAGGCUUGUUUAGGGAAUCUGAAGACUUUGCAGCUUACACACUGGGUAGUUUUCGGUGAUGAUUCCAUUCAUAGGUUAAUUUCCAAUUGCCCUGUCUUAUAAGAUUUGGCUUUCAUUGAAUGCUUUGUUGCGAAUGCAAGGGUGCUCCAUAUCCAAAUUCCUUCGCUUAAGAGGUUGGUUUUACAUUUUGUUGCGAGCGGAGAGGUGUUCAUAGGUUGGGCCGGGCCGGGUUCGGGUCCAGUUCAACUAAAAAAUCAUGCUCAUUUAUUGGGCUCGGGCCGGGCCGGGCCCAAAAAAUGGGCCUAAAAUUUUUUUCAAACUCGACCCGGAUAAAAAUAAUAAAAUCCGGGCCCGGCUCGGCUCGCCAGUAUUAAUUUUUUUAUAUUAUAUUAUUAUUAUUUUUAAAUACAUAUAAUACAUCAAAAAUACUAAAAAUAUCAAAAUAAAUUUUCCCAACAAAUUGAAAAUAAAUUUUGAAAAAAUGUAGACUUAAAUAACACUAAGACAAAUGCAACUUAACAAGCAAUUGCUUCUAAAAUAAAAAAAAAUUAACAAAUACCUUUAAAAUAAUAAGAAAAUUAACAAUAAAUUUUUUUAUACAAUAUCUAAAUAAUAACAACAAAAUAAUAGCAACAUAAUAGUAAAAUGGUAGCAAAAUAUAGAGAAAACAACAAGAAAAUAACAUUCAAAAAUAAAAAAAAUAUGCAGAUUUUUUUUGUCCUUUAGUGAAUUUGGGCCGGGUCGAGCCGGGCUCAGGCUAAAAAUAUCUUACUCGAGGCCCGGCUCAUUUUUUAAACGGGCCUUAUUUUUUGUCUAAGCCCAUUUUUCGGGCCUAUAUUUUUGUCCAAACCCUCCCAUAUUUUGGGCGGGCCUUCGGGCCGAGCCGGGUAGCCCGGCCAUGCACACCUCUAACCUAAACUAUGGGGUGGUGAUUAAUGUUCCAAAUCUUGUUUAUUUUCGAUAUGAUCUGGCAAUAGUUGAAUGUUACAGUCAUAUGAAGUCCCUAGAAAAAGCCGACAUUUGCAUCUAUGGCUUUCAUUCCAAUUUAAGCAUUGAUGCAACUCAUCUUAUUCAAGGAAUUUGCAAUAUACGGUCUCUAAGUUUAAGCAUUCAUGAAGUGGUUAGUAAACUUAGUAUUCAUGUGUUUAUUUUCCUUUUUAACAUCAUAUUAUAUAAUAUUAUAUAAUAACUCUAAGUUUUGACUUGUGCAGAUUUUCGGAACAAGUCUGACUUCCUAUAUUUUACAACCUUGUUGAAUUCAAGUUUUGUGCGCCUAAUCUAAAAACUCUUGCCAUCAUAUUUCUGGUAUGAAGUUUUUGUCAUCAGAAACUCGAUGAAAAGCUUUAUAUAUAGAAAUUUCUUCUUGUUUGUCCUUUCACCUCAAGGAGAUUGAAUUUUUAUGCUUUGACAUACAUAUGAUUGAAAUGGUUAAUUAUUUCUCGGAUAAUGCAAUGGUUCUAGAAAAUGUUAUAAUAAAAAUAGAUCUUCGACUUAAACACAGAAAACGGAAACCAGCAACCAAUUAUUGAAGUUAUUAAAGAGUUCAAAUAAAUGUGGUUAUAAUCAUAACAUAAAAUAGUAUCAAGAAGGCCCUCUGCUGUAACAUAACAUUGACAAGAAGCUGAAAAUCCCUGCCAAACAAAUCGUACAUAAUGAUAGAAAUUUUUUUGGUUGAAGUACCCUUCUAUUAAGAAUAUGUUGAUAAAGUAAGUGGAAUAAAAUUGAAAUUUAGCAUUUUUUUUUCAUAGAUUAAAAUAAAUGUUUAUUUAAAAUUUAUAAAUAAAAAAUUGCCACGUGUCAAAAUAUUCGAAACUACCACUUGUCCUAAUUAAAAAAAUAGAAACCCAGCAACCGGCAGACGCUGGGAAAUGCUAGUAAUAAGUAAACAAGCAUUUCACGAUACCGUCUCUGUUUCGUUUCUUGCAUACUUGUUCGUUGACUUGCUUUCUUGACUACUGGGAACCAGGAAUGACCGAAGCUAUAAUCGGUGCAACCAUAGAGGUGGCUUUGUCCAAGGCUAUCUCUAUCAUCGAAGAUCAAAUCAACCUGGUAGUGACUUGGGAUUUCAAAGACGACCUCAACAAGCUUCGUUCCUCACUAGAUCUCGCUCGAGCUUUCUUGCAAGACGCGGAGAGUAGGCGAGUCGAUGAACCCAUCAAGGUUUGGCUUCAACAGCUGAGGUGUAUCGCCUAUGCUGCCGACGAUGUAUUGGAUGAGCUUGCUUAUGAAAGUCUCCGAAGAACGACGGAGGCUAACCAAAUGGGUAAAAAGGUUAGCAAUUUAUUCUCCCUCUCCAAGAAUCCCAUGGCAUUUUCUGUAAAGAUGGGUAAAAAUAUUAAGAAUAUUAGCAUGUCCAUGGAUGAAAUUAUUGAUCGAGCCUUGAAAUUCGGACUCCAACAAAGAGUUCAAAGUAUGGGUCCUGUGUUUAGUGGAAUUGGAGGCACCCAUUCCUGUAACUCAUCACGAGUUGUUGGAAGGGAAGCUGAUGUUCAGAAAAUAGUUGAUCUUUUGAUUGGCUCAAACACUGAUCACCAUGGGUUUUCGAUGGUGUCCGUAGUAGGUAUGGGAGGCUUGGGUAAAACUACUUUAGCCAAGUCUGUUUGUAACAAUGAGAAAGUGCAGAACUGUUUUGGUGAAAUAAUUUGGGUCUGUGUGGCUGAAACUUUCGAUGUUCGAAGGAUUUUAUCAGAGAUCUUAGAAUCUCUAACUAGAAAACCUUGUGAAAUCAAGAAUGAUGAUGUUGUGGUUAGAGAAAUACAGAAGAAGUUGAAAGGCAAAAGCUUCCUUCUUGUGCUUGAUGAUGUGUGGGAUGAGGAUAUUAAAAACUGGGGGGACUUAAAAGGUAGUUUGUUGGGGAUAAAUGAAAGUAAACAAAGUUGCAUUCUUGUUACUAGUCGUAGUGAAAAUGUGGCAGUGGUGAAAGAAACCCUCCCUGAGUACAGGCAUCAUCUGAAGACAAUGGUGGAUGAGGAGUGUUGGUCCAUAAUCAGAGAUAGUGCCUUCGGAAACUCUUCUGUAUCACAAGAAUUAGAAGUUAUAGGGAGGGAUAUUGCCCGUAAAUGUUCAGGUGUGCCAUUGGUGGCAAAUGUUAUAGGGAGCACAAUGUGCAACAGAUGGGAUAGGGAUGAAUGGGUGUCACUCAGGGAUAGUUCUCUUUGGGGUUCUUUGGAAAGGAAUGAAGGGAUUGUACGUGUUCUGAAAUUGAGUUUUGAUCGCUUGUCUUCCCCAUCUUUGAAGCAGUGUUUUGCAUAUUGUUCCAUCUUUCCUAAGGAUUUUAGGAUCCAAAAGGACCAAUUGAUCCAGCUUUGGAUGGCUGAAGGCUUUCUUCAGCAAUCCAGGAUAAGUUCCCAGCAGCCGGCCGUUGAGGAUAUCGGCAAUGAAUACUUCAAUGCGUUGCUAUCAAAUUCCUUAUUGCAGGAUGUGGAGCGGGAUCAAUACGGUUGCAUUACAACAUGUAAGAUGCAUGAUUUAGUUCAUGAUCUUGCACAAUCCAUUUCUCAUAUUAGACUAGGAAACAUCGUUAAUGGUGUGAGACUGUGGCACUCUUUGUUCUCCAAUUCUAGCUCCAUCCAUGCUGUAAGGGACUUCAAAAGCUUACGAGUUCUUAUUUUUUGCGGUGCUCCCAUUGUCUCCUUGUCACACUCAAUUGGCAGGCUAAAGCAUUUAAGAUACUUUGACAUUUCAAGAACUUACAUAUGUAGAUUACCAAAGUCCAUCAGCCAGCUUUACCAUUUGCAGACAUUAAGAUUAUCGGGUUAUGAAGGGCACAUGCCUGAAGGAAUGGAAAAUCUAGUAAAUUUGAGGCAUCUGUAUAUUGGUCAUUAUAGAACUGUUCCUUAUAAGAUAGGAUGUCUAACUAAUCUUCAAACUUUGCCAAUAUUUAGAGUGGGUACAGAAAGGGGAAGUGGAAUUGGUGAAUUGGGAGGUUUAGUUGAAUUUGGUGGAGAACUAGUCAUAUUCAAUCUUCAGAAUGUUAGAAAUGAAGGAGAAGCUAGGGAAGCAAAAUUGUUGGAGAAAAAGAAACUACAUGAGUUAGAAUACCUUUGGGGCUAUAACAGGGAAGAAUCUUGCAACGACGAGGAAGUACUGGAAGGAUUGGAACCUCACUCAAAUUUGAAAAGCUUAAGUAGUAUGUACUAUAAUGGAAGGCACUAUCCAUCAUGGUUGGCAAGGUUUACUAAUAUUAGUGGUCCAAGUGCUUGUUUUCAACCCAUCAAUUUGGUGAAGUUGAAGCUGUCUAAUUGUAAGAAUUUAGAGAAACUGCCAACUCUUGGGCACUACCCCAAUCUCAAAAUUCUUGAAGUAGAAGGUUUAAAUAAUGUGAGGUGCAUUGGAAAAGAAUUUUAUGUCAGUGAUGAUGACAGUAGUUCUGAUAAGAAUAAGCCAAUCACCUUAUUUCCAGCAUUGGAAAAGUUGAGCCUGUGGAAUAUGGAAGAAGUAGAAGAAUGGUUAGAAGUGGAACCAACAGUUACUGUGUUUCCUUCACUAAAAGAGCUACAUAUUGAAGGUUGCUGCAAGCUAAGCAGUGUUCCAAGAAUGAGUAGACUUUCUUGUCUUGAGGCACUCACUAUUACAGGUAACAAUGCAUUAAGUUGUAUAGGAGAUGAACAAUUUCCCUUUCCCUCUAGCCUCAAAAAAUUCACCAUACAGAGGUGCUAUAAGUUAACGACAGUUCCAAGUGUAGAGGGCGGUAUCUCUUUUCUUCAGCAUCUUGAGGUGAAGCUUUGUGACCGGUUAUGUAAAAUAGGACAAGGAUUACUUACUUCCACAUGUCUAAGAGUUGUGGUCAUAUGUGACUGUCCUAAUUUGAUCUCCAUUCCAGUAUAUGGCAUAUCUGAAUCUCUUGUGAAGCUUGAGUUGGAUCAUUGUUGAGGAUUACGGGAGGUAGAGGGUGCGUUAUCUGCAUUCACAAGGUUGGAAACAUUACGGAUAGGAAACUGUCUUAAUCUGAUUCCCAUUCCCCUUCCCAGUUUAGAUGUUUUCUCCUCUCUUAUACAAUUAUCGCUGGAAGGAUGUCACAGAUUAACGAGUCUACCAAGUGGAUUGCGAAGCUGUACUUGUCUUCAGUUUUUGGUCGUGGACUAUUGCACUGAUCUGGAGUCGAUUCCAGAAGAUUUAGGGCGAUUGAUUCUCUGAAGGAACUGUGUAUCUUGAGUUGUCAAAACUUGAAGAGUGUUCCAGAGGACAGCCUUAGGUGCCUCACCCGUUUGAAGACAUUGAAAUUGGGUCCUUUCUCACAAGAGCUAGAUGAAUUCCCAGGUCUUAGUUCCAUCCACCACCUCCACUCUUCCCUUGAAAUUUUGACAUUGAAUGGAUGGGAAAAACUAUGCUCGCUGCCUUAUCAACUUCAACACCUAGCCGCACUAAAGUAUUUAAUUAUUUCUGGAUUUGAUGGAGUCACAACUUUACCUGAGUGGUUGGGAAACCUCUCCUCUCUUCAAGAUUUGACAAUAGAUUUUUGUCGAAAUCUUGAGGAUCUGCCAUCUAAGGGAGCCACAUAUCGCCUCUCCAAUAUUCAACAUCUUUCUAUUACAAACUGUCCAAGAUUAAAAG